GGUUGUUUGGACCGAGCGGUCAAAGGCACUGGAUUCAAAACCCAGGAAUCAUGGGUUCAACUCCCAUAACAACCA